CAUGGAGAAGUGGUUUCCGGGGGCCUGAGCUGAGUUGGUCACAGGAGUGGACGUUCAGGUGAGGCCCUCUCCAUUCAUGGCACAGAGCAGUGAAGCCAUUUCCACGCCCUAGCUGCUCCUGGGUUUCUACUGUUGCGAUACCUGAACCGGCCUGGAGACAAGGAUAUGCCAAUGCACCUCAGGAUGCAAAGGGCUUUUGUCGCUCUGAGUUCUAAGUUCACGCCCCGCACUAUUCCUCGCCCUGGGGAUACAACAGGGAUCCAAGCCCUCCCUGCCCUCAUGGAGCUUACACUCUAGACCGAGGGAUAGACAGCCAGCAGGCAGCUCCAAGCCCCAAAGAACGUGUAGGUUUGUGAAGUGAUUCUGAGCAGCGUCCGUGACUGUCCUGCCAUCAGAUUUGCAGAAGAUAAACAGAUAGAAGGAAGCGACUCCUCCCUCCUAUUAAAAAUAAAUAAGAUUUUAAAUUUCUUUUUAAGAGAGCGCUCCUCUCUUCUCUGAAA